AAUAGAUACCCAGGUAGUCCAUGCCGUAAACGUUGGGCACUAGGUGUGGGGCUCAUUCCACGAGUUCCGUGCCGCAGCAAACGCAUUAAGUGCCCCGCCUGGGGAGUACGGCCGCAAGGCUAAAACUCAAAGGAAUUGACGGGGGGCCCGCACAAGCGGCGGAGCAUGCGGAUUAAUUCGAUGCAACGCGAAGAACCUUACCAAGGCUUGACAUGCACGGGAAGCCACCAGAGAUGGUGGUCUCUUUGGACACUCGUGCACAGGUGGUGCAUGGUUGUCGUCAGCUCGUGUCGUGAGAUGUUGGGUUAAGUCCCGCAACGAGCGCAACCCUCGUCCCAUGUUGCCAGCGGGUUAUGCCGGGGACUCAUGGGAGACUGCCGGGGUCAACUCGGAGGAAGGUGGGGAUGACGUCAAAUCAUCAUGCCCCUUAUGUCUUGGGCUUCACGCAUGCUACAAUGGCCGGUACAAAGGGCUGCGAUACCGUAAGGUGGAGCGAGUCCCAAAAAGCCGGUCUCAGUUCGGAUUGGGGU
rnacentral:rRNA from 1 species